rnacentral:rRNA from 1 species
GAUGAACGCUAGCGGCAGGCCUAAUACAUGCAAGUCGAACGGUAGAUCGGGUAGCAAUACUUGAUUGAGAGUGACGUAAGGGUGCGUAACACGUAUGCAAUCUACCCUCAACAGGAGUAUAGCUCGGGGAAACUCGGAUUAACACUCCAUAACAUUACGAUGUGGCAUCACAUUGUGAUUAAAACUCCGGUGGUUGAGGAUGAGCAUGCGUCUGAUUAGUUAGUUGGAGGUGUAACGGACCCCCAAGACGAUGAUCAGUAGGGGAACGUGAGAGGUUGAUCCCCCACCACUGGCACUGAGAUACGGGCCGAGACUCCUACGGGAGGCAGCAGUAGGGAAUAUUGGUCAAUGGGUGAGAG